GACGAUCGUGCAAAUGUGUUUGCUGUCAUUUGAAUCACUCUUAAUUAUGACUUGUUAUAAUGCAAAUGAAAGCAUUUGAGUUCAUUUUUGGACAGAUUACCCAUCUGAUGAAGAAGAAUGGCAAUCGCUGCAGUCAAAUAAUCUUUCGGGUCCUGUAUACAGAAAACCUAUAAGAGAUAAUUACGGUUUUUAUGAGAAAGGAAUUGGAACCAAUCUACAAAAAACUGUAAAGGCCGCCAAGAACAUGAGGUGCAAUGACACCACAGCACAAGAGAGUCUCAUCUCCACGUCCAAACAACCUGACACCCAGAUAGAAUUCAGUCAAUGGGAUCUACAGAGGAGAAGAUCGUCAAUUAAAGAACAAGAAGUGCUGGCCGACACACCUUUAGUUAAUAGCGGAAUAACUAGAAUAAUUCCAAAACAUAAAAUGAAGAAUGAACAUUCAACACUGUCAACACCAGUAUGAAGAUAAUGAAGAAUAAGAUUUGUGGACAGAUUUGAAACAGAAUAACUAGGGAUUAACGAUGCGAAGUUUCUAACAGUGAACUAACAGUGCCUGCAAUGAUAAAUUUUCAUGCGGGGAUUACGCAAACUGCUCAAUUUUAUCACGGACCCAGUGAUAUCGUGGUAUGUCGAGAACCAUAGAAAGAUUCACGACUGCAAAUUUGUCGCCUUUCUUCGUGUCAUGCCAUGAUAUAAUUUCAUUUUUAAUCAUAAUAAUCAUCGAAUGAACUCGAUUAUGAUUUUUUAUUUAGUAACUAUAAAGUAUAGACAUCACAAUAUAUAUGUGUGACAGAAGGACCGAGAAUGAAUAUUGUAACUAGAAAAAUCUGACUAUGUAUUAUAUUCUACAUGGACAAUGCGAAUUUUCUCCACUUCAUGUCAUUGUUCUUAUUGAUCAAUAAAAUAGCAAUAAAAAUCAUAUAAAGUGUCAUUUGUAUUUACAACUUUAACCACACCAGCUGUAAAAUCAGCUCCAUUAGAGCCUUUAAAUGAAU